AUAGGAAUUUGUCAAUGAUGCAGAAUUCUCGUUAGAUCUCAUUGAUAUCCUACAAGGCCAGAAAGGGCCACACUUUCGGUUAUAGCUCUAUGAAUAUCCUUUUACAGCACAGGCUUAGUGCUGGAUCAAUAAAACUCUUAAAAACCCCUGGGAUACACUUUGUAUCCAUCUUGAACAUCAAUAUUAACCUCACCACCAGCUGGAUCUGAGGACCUGAUGUGAUCUGACAUUAGAACAUUUGAAUCACAUGAAUUUCACGUAUUAUAUGUGAGUUGUAGAUACGUAUCACAAUCUUAAGAUAUUCAUGGGAAUCACACAACGCAUGGAUACAAUAAUAAGCUACUUAUUGCGGUACUUUGUUGAAUCAUAUAGUAGGAUGCGUAUAAUGUGUUAGAUGCAGACUACUGCAGUGAGAAGGGAGAACUACUGUGGAGCAGCGUGCUGUGCAGAUCGAACGAAACCUGGAAUGGAAGUCUAUGGAUAAAGGGUUGAAGCGCAGGAUGAAAAAGAAAGUGUAGUAACGAGGAAUAUUUCUUAGAGUAUGAAGGGCUGGAGAGGAUUGGAACAAGAAGAGUUCCUUUUGACUUGCUCUUAGGAUAAUCUGCACUGGAAAACAUACUGCUACUUGAUUAACUGUUUUGCCAAGUCAUAGUGGUUUUACCGUUCUCCAAGAUGAUGGAAAUCUUGCAAAGUUUGCUGGUCAACCCUCCAUGUUUUCAAAAAGUCCGAGAACAUUGAUCGGUCAAUCAAUUUUAUAUUCAUUUGAUGUGAAAGAAAAGGCAAGAGUCCAAAAAAUCUUCUAAAUGGAAUCGCUCCAUAAUUCCGUUCUCCAUAUUGAUGGUUGUUCUACCAUGUUCUGUUUUUGUCUUGAGAAAGAGGGGAAAAAUUAAUCUGGUUAUUUUCUAUGAAUGACCAUCGUUAUAUCUUUUUUACAUUCAGGCAAUCCUUUGAAACCUGGGCACACUAAGAGAGAUAGAAUUAGGAAUGGAGAUAUCCAGGACAAGGUAGGAGUGGCCUCGGUUGAGGACAAGAUGCAGAAAGCGUGGCUGAGAUGAUUUGGACAUGUGAAGAGGAGAGACACAGAUGCCUCAGUGGGAAUGGACGGUUUCAAGAGAUGUAGAGGUAGUCCGAAGAAGUAUUGGCGAGAGGUGUGUUCCAUCUUAAUGAGGACAUGACCUUAGAUAGGAUGUUAUGGAGGACUCAGAUUAGGGUAGAAGGCUAGUAGUUCUUAUGCAUAGAGGGUACUGUCGUACUGCUGCUUCUCCUCUUCUGCCAACCAUUCAGGAGUUACGUGCUACAAUCUGAGUGCUGCCUCCACAAGAUUGCUACAUAUCAACACUGAAAAAUACUGUUCGGUCACGUGCCUGGGGGGCUGCAAUUGGUUACAGCUACCAAGUUGAGCGGUGCCAUGUUGUGGAGGUAUGAGCUUUUUUUAAUGGAGAAAAAUUGGUAAAGGCUACUUCAGCAUCACAGACGCCUGAGAUGGAUGGUGACAAACCUCAUGUGGCAAAUGGGGGAAAAAAUGUGGUGGAUAGUGAAAGUAUCAUCGUUGACGUGUUUAAGUGGUCCUGCUGUAAAAGGCCUUUACCCCAGGAGCUAAUGCUAUCAAUUGGGAUUCCUUUGCCCCUUCAACAUGUCGAGGUUCUGCAGGACAAUCUGGAAUGGGAGGACAUCCAAUGGUCGAAAACUGGUGUCUGGAUUGCUGGAAAAGAAUAUGUUCUUGCUAGGGCACAUUUUCUUUCCCCAAAUUAGUUUGUUAGAAAUGUGCUAACUUGAUAAUAAACAUCAGUCAAGUAACGCACUGCUGAAUGGAAACUGAUUAUAGGCAAACAACAUUAAUCUGUUUCCAAGUUUCACUUUCUUGUUGUGGUGUGUAUUUUACAUGUUAAGUGUCUACCUAUGAGGAAGUAAUGCAGAAUUAGUGGAAAAAGAAUGAGAAACAACAGUUGUUACUCUUCUUAGCCACUUAAGAAUCUA